GAAUCAAACCAUCAUAUACUAUUAACGGUUUAUUUUGUAUUUUUUUCGCUAAGUUAUUGGAAUGUUAAAUAAAACAUUUGUUUCGCAUAAAACUUUGCUAAACUUAUUCGCAGAUUUUUUACAGGUAACGAAUAUACUAAAGAUAUAGUAUAAAAACAUUUUUCGUACUCGUUUUUUUCUUCGCUCGCAAGUAGAUCACCGAUAUGCUAAAAAUAAUCGUUAUCGAGAUCAAUUUGCAAUCAAUAUAUCAUCACAACAACAGAUACAAUUAAUUCACUUUUCAGAAUUUCGAUUUUGCUCGCUAAAUUAUACGUUAAACAACGUGAAACGUAUACAAUCUCAUACAUUGUUAAUAACGCAAUUAUUGCUCUUGUUUAUAGGAAUUUGAUUCAGAUUUCAAGCUUGAAUGCAUCAAUGAAUGCCUCUGGAAAUCAUCAAGGCCGUCCUUUUUUUGCCAUCAAUCAAAUCUGGACAACUUUUGUUUUGCGCAAAUUUUGCAAUUGCCUUUUUACAAAAGCGUUGAUAUUAAUCAGGUAGUUUGUUUACAGUGUAUCGUGUGCGUAUAAUAGGAUAUUUAAAAAUGUAAAAUAUAUUAUAUCAUACGUACUCUGAAAUACGCAACGAAGCGCCACAACUGCGGGGACUGGGAGCUGUGUCUAAGCGAAAGGAUAAUUCGCUGUCCUGUUGAGUGGCUGCAUCUGUCGCUUGUAACACAUCCCACAGUACAACUUAGACCGUUCGACGAGCGC